rnacentral:rRNA from 1 species
GACGUAGGGCGCGAGCGUUGUCCGGAUUUAUUGGGCGUAAAGAGCUCGUAGGCGGCCACUCAAGUCGAAUGUGAAACCUCGAGGCUUAACCUCGAGCCUGCAUUCGAUACUGGGCGGGCUAGAGUCUGGUAGGGGGGAUCUGGAAUUCCUGGAUGUAGCGGUGGAAUGCGCAGAUAUCAGGAGGAACACCGGUGGCGAAGGCGGGAUCCUGGACAUUUCCUGACACUGAGGCACGAAAGCUAGGGGAGCAAACAGG